CGGACAGCCUCCAACCCACACAAGCUUCCCUGUUCUGGCUUUGUCGGCUACCAUGAUUCAAUGAUGACAACACGCACACCUUUCCCUGAUGCUUGGGCAAAGGCAUGUAUGUCCGAUGUGCAGGCAAAACUUUAUAGAUGCAGAUUACAUACAUUAGAAAUUGCCAACUCGGUGGAUGAUAAAUACUAUGACUUGGGACUCAGAAAAAAGAUCAACACGUAGAUGCAGAUUACAUAGAUCAGGACUUGCUAACUCGGCGUAUGACACAUACUAAACGACAUCAACACGUAGGUAUGAGAGUUCGGAAUAUCCAACAUUUGCUAACAACUUUUUAAUUGCUUCGUCCUCUACCUGCAAUUACAACUUCAGUGUGCUUGAUUUUCAAUUAGCCAAGUGCAUUUGUUGGUUUUAGUUCUUUUCUAUAUACAAUUAAUUAUCAAUAGGUUUGAUGAUACUUCAGAACAACAUGUCAAUGUUAGAGGCUUAUUUUA